GCUUUUAUAUUUGAAACAACUACCGUCCACGAAGGAUUAUAUUUAUUGCUAUUUUAUUUUAUACUUACCAGAAUCUGAUUUCUCUAUUAGAUGUGUUGAAGUCAAAGAUAAUACUGGAUUUUUGUUCGACCUUAUACUUUUCUGCUGAAGCUCCAUAACGGUCAACACGUAUAAUACCUCUCUGGGAACCUAUUUGUGCAUUCAUGAAGGAUGAAACCCGAAGUUGACGAACAGAGAAAAAGUCAUAUCUUGGGAUAUGGACCGAUACAUCAGUUGAUCUUUGAAUAAGAGAAACUCAGCAACCGCUGCAAGAAUUGAAAUGCCGAAAAUCAUUUGAAAAUUCUCGUCGAUUAUAUGUUGGGCCAUGCGUUUGAUCAUCUAUGGAGAUUGGAGGUCACUCUGAUUUAGUUAUUGAAAAGGAAAUGUAAAACCAAGGAGACUGAAGAAAUCCAAAGAUAGAGCCAAAAAAGACAGUCAGAGGACCAAUUUGAUUAACCUUAACAAGAAGAAGGCCGAGCUGGAUGAACAGAUAUUGCUCCGCAGCUCGUUUCCUAGACCCUACUUCAUAAAAGUAUCCCCAUCCUCAACAGAUCCUCAACAUACAGCAGAACCUCAACCUCCAGCAGAGAAAGACAAUUUUAAGUAUUCCCGACGAAAAUGGUCAAUUCUCAGAUUCAAAAAUUCUCAACAAUAGUCAUGAUCACCCAGAUGUUCUGCCUAGGGUGAAUGUUAAGACCACUAAGUAUUCCGAAAUGUGUUCUAUGAAUAAGCUAGAUGGUAUAUUUAAAUUGUCUUGGUAAGAACGUGCCAGUAACUGAGCCGCAUAUUUUAAAGGGAUUAGAUUUAUCUAUGUUUUGUCUUAAAGAACCAUUUACUUCU